rnacentral:lncRNA from 1 species
UAUACUAUCUAACUAGAAGCCACGUGGCGAUGUUCUAUAAGACCUCCAAUAUAUGUUGACUUUCUAGGCUACAUGCCUUUGCUUGCAAGGCAAGUUUUCUAUGGAUGGACCACGUAGUUAGCUUGUUCUUUAAGCUUCCAACAUGCGUGACGCAUGGAUAACUUGUUGACCAAGUUUCUAACCUAAAAGUCAACUAUAGACUCCUAUAAAGUCAAAGCAGCGUCUAUGAAGCUUCUAAGAAGCUUCUCUAGAAGAUAUUACACAAUUAACCUACUUUUACAUACUUUUAUCUAUUCAUAUAGGUAAUUAUAUGUAUGUCCGUGACAUUACCCCCCCUUCUAGGGACGAGUUCCACGAGGAGCGGUGAUUAUAUAUUGAGAAAAUCUAAUAUGCGGCGAAUUAUAUUUGCUACAUACUCUGAUCUUUGUUCUCUUCGAAGAUAGUUGAUGGGUCCUCUUAGCCAUCGAUAGUGUCCCAUUCCAGGGCGAGAAGACCACCCUGUUAUUUGAUCACUGUUGAGGCCUUCAUAACUUCCUUCAAAUAAUACAUUUGAAACACCAUCAGGAGUCGUUCCUAUCUCCAAUAAUAUCACCAAACAUCGAGAAUCUCUUCCAAGGUCGUGAUACCAAACGCGUUGUAUCUCACCAUCUAUUCGAGGAAGAACAUGUCGUUCUUGAGGGUCUUCAUUUCGGUUGCGUCGUCUUGAAGGUUGUGACAAUCGCAAUGUCUCAUCCGGUAAGUCAGCAAACGAAGGUUCUUGAGUUGAAUCCGCUGGUUGUUGGCUCUCCAUCUAAUUAGCGUCACAAAAUGCAAAGAAGUUACAAACAAGGAUAGGAAAUUGAAUGUUAUCUUGCCUCAAUCUUGUCUCUUUUAUAAGAGAGGUUUUCAUCUUGGUUUUGAUGGAUGUCGUUGAUGAAAAACUUUGACUUUAGCUGAUGCAUUUGCUAGAUUCCUGGAUGGCUCCCAUGUGCGCUCACUAAUAUCAUAUCCGCACCAAUGAACAAGAUAUUCCAGCUUAUUUCGGCGCCGCCUUGAGUCUAAUAUCUCUUCCACCUCAAAUUCUUCAUUAUUAUCUACUUCUAUAGGAGGCGGUGGCAUUUGUCUUCUUCCUUGUAUAUCCACUGUCUUAUAUGGUUCAAAAAGAGACACGUGGAAUACAGGAUGGAUCUUCAUUGACUCCGGUAGAUGUAACCGAUAUGCAACUGGGUUGAUCUGUUCAGAAACAGAAAAGGGGCCAAGCCUACGAUAGUCCAAUUUGUCACAAGGUCGAGUGGUCUUGAUAUUGCGACGAAGUAGCCAUACCUUAUCACCCACGUUGAGUUGUGGUUGCUCUUUACGAUAUACAUCUGCAUUUAUCUUUUGUCGUUCUUGAGCUUUCUUCAACUGCGCCUUCAUUAUUGCAUGUAACUCUGACAACCGAUUUGCCAUAUCUUCUGCUACAGGAUUAUCAACUUUUGAAAAAUCAAAAGUAUCAAGUCGUGGAUGAUAGCCAUAAUUGGCAAAGAAAGGUGUUUGUUGCGUGGAGGAAUGUACCGUAUUAUUAUAAGCAAACUCUGCCAAUGGCAGAAGGUUUGUCCAAUCAUCUUGUUGGUAGUUGAUGGUACACCUUAAAUACUGUUCCAAGACUUGGUUUACGCGCUCUGUUUGUCCAUCAGUUUGAGGAUGGAAAGCUGAAGAUAGCUUUAUGUCCACUUUUAAAAUCUUGAAAAGAGUCCUCCAGAAUCUCGACACAAAUUGAGUUCCCCUAUCCGAUAUGAUAUCUUUAGGUAAUCCAUGAUAGCGAUAGAUAUUAUCAAUGAAAAGCUUAGCUGUUUCUUCACCUGUGAUAGAUUUUGUACAUGGCAUAAAAUGUGCCAUCUUGGUGAAACGAUCUAUUAUCAUAAAUAUAGAAUCAUAAGAUCUUGAGUUUGGAAGAUCUGUGAUGAAAUCCAUAGAAACAGAAGACCAUGGUUGUUCUGGUAUAGGUAAUGGCUGAAGAAGUCCGUAAGGUCGAUGUCGAGGAAUUUUUGAUCUUGAACAAAUAUCACAUGAUUGUACAAAGUCUUUGACUGACUUCCACAUUUGUGGCCACCAAAAAUCUCUUGAUAUGAGUUCCAAAGUCUUAUUAUAUCCAAAGUGCCCUGCUGCUGGAAAGUCAUGACGUGCUUGAAGAACACGCAAACGUGCUUUUCCUUCUGGAACAUAUAGGCGUCCUUCAAAAUAUAAUAGAUUAUUCUUGAACUCGAACUUAGAAGAAUCAUGAGACUUGGAAGAAUUAUUCUCGAUAUCAUGAACAAGAGGGUCUGAGGACAUACUGGACUGGAUUUGCUUGAGAAAAGUUGAAUCAACAGUCAAUGUUGAUUUCACUGCUCGGAGAUGAAAUUGCUCCGGUUUCAAGAGGACCAUUCUUUGUUGCUCAAAAGCUGCAUCUCCUUCUUUUGGUGCAAAAUAAGAACGUCUAGACAGGGCAUUGGACAAACCUUGUUGUUUUCCUGGCCGAUAAGUGAUAAUGAAGUCGAAUCUUGACAAAGACAUACUCCAACGAGCUUGACGACGAUUCAACACGCGUGCUGACAUGAAAUACUCGAGGUUCUUGUGAUCUGUAUACACAGUGACUGGACUAGAAGCACCUUCUAGAUAAUGACGCCAUUCUUGAAAGGAAUCCACGAUUGCAAGAAGUUCUUUAUCGUGGAUCUCAUAAUUGAUCUCGGCUGCUAAGAAUUUUCUUGAAUGAAAAGCUAUCGGAUGAAGUUUGUCAUCUGUUCCCAUUUGUGAUAAAACUGCACCCAAGGCAAAAUCCGAUGCGUCUGUUUCUAUAAAAAAUGCCUUGGAAAAGUCAACACGAUAUAAGACUGGUGCAGAGACAAACGAUGUCUUCAAGGCUUCAAAUGCUGCUUCCGCUUCUUGAUUCCAUUGGAAUUGAUCUUUACUAGUCAAGCGUGUAAGUGGAGCUGCAACUCGUGAGAAGUCUUUGAUGAAGAUCCGAUAGUAAUUGGCAAAUCCCAAGAAACAUUGGACAUCUCUCACAGUCUUUGGAAUCUUCCAAUCCAUGAUUGUUUGGACUUUCUUAGAAUCCAUCAUAAGACCAUCAUUUGAAAUGAUGUAUCCUAAAAAGUCAACUUGAGUAGUGUGAAAUACACACUUUUCCAUCUUGGCGUACAAUCCUGCAUCUCUGAGUUUUUGUAAUACUUGACGAACAUGUAUUUCAUGUUCUUCAACAUUCUUAGAAUAAAUCAGGAUAUCGUCUAGGUAGCAGACGACAAAAUUGUCUAAGAAUUCACGAAAUACAUCAUUCAUGAGAUGUUGAAAAGCAGCUGGUGCAUUCGUGAGUCCAAAAGGCAUGACAUUAUAUUCAAAAUGCCCGUACCUGGUUCGAAACGCAGUCUUCCAUUCAUCUCCUUCUUUGAUCCGUACUAGAUUAUAUGCUCCUCUUAGAUCUAUUUUUGUAUAGAUCUUAGCUUGAUUUAACUGGUCAAGGAGUCCUGAUAUCAAAGGUAAUGGAUACCUGUUCUUGAUUGUGAUCUUGUUGAGUCCUCGAUAGUCAACACACAUUCGUAAAGAUCCAUCUUUUUUCUUUACGAAUAAAAUUGGAGCUCCUGCUGGAGAUUUUGAAUGGCGUAUGAAAUUCUUCGCUAAAUUCUCGUCAAUAUAUGUCUUGAGUUCAGCCAACUCAUCUUGCGAUAAACUGUAAAUUGGUCCAAAUGGUGGCUGAGUUCCUUCCUUGAGAUCGAUUGAACAAUCGUAUGGGCGAUGCUCAGGAAGAAUAUCUGCAUUCUUUUUCUCAAAAACGUCUUGAUAAUCCUGAUAUUGACUUGGAAUGCCACUUGAAGUCUUUACGCUUUCAGAAAUAGGUGCAGCAUAAAUAGCAAAAGUUGAUCCUUCUUUUGCUGCGUGUAUAAAUGCUUUUGCACCUAUAGGUGCGAGUUUUACUAUACUAGACUCAUGGUUUUUUACUUGGUUAAUAGAACUGUUACUAAUGCUCUGAGGAAAAUCAAGUUUACGAGAAAUCCAAUCUAUUCGAGGAUUAUACUUUUCUAACCAUGAUAAGCCUAAAAUUACUGGAUUAGAGGGAGAUCUAAUUAUAUUAAAAAUUACGCAACUACUAUGACCAUUUAUUACUACAUCUACAGGAAGUGUUUCGUGAGUUACAUCUCCAGAAGACAACGGACGACCAUCUAUGACUUCUACGUGUACAGGUUUAGUUUUUUGUAUUAAUGAUAUUCUAUGACAUCUAGCAAAUUCUUCAUCUAAAAAACAAGAUGAGGCUCCUGAAUCUACCAAGGCAGAGGCUUUGUAAUUAUUAGGUCCUAAACGCACAUCUAUUAUAAAACAAGGAGAUGGUUUUGAGGAGAGGAUAGGACCUUUAUUAGAAGUUGUACAAGAUUCCAGCCGCACGGUCCCUAUUGUAGCUGGACGUACUCGUUUUCCGACAUACUAUCUUCUUUGACAGCCGUACUCCUCAUUUUGUAGUUACGUCGCUUCUUUGGACAAUGUUGAGCAGUGUGCUUAGGUUCUCCACAAUAUAAGCACAAUCCUUCUUGUCGACGACGAGACUUUUCUUGCUCAGUAAGAGGUUUGAAACGUACCGCAUCAAUUUGCAUAUCCUCUACUUCCGAAGGUAUGUGUUGAGGAGACGUCGGUGUUGCCAUUGAAUUGUAGUAACGUUGAGGCCCACUUGUGCGACUCUCGGAUCGAAAUUCAAAAAGUCGAUUGUCGCACUUUACAGCAAAGUCAAUUGCUUGACUCAAUGUUUGAGGAUCAGGUAAAUUAAGCAUCAAUUUCUUUACCUCAUAUUGUAAUCCGUAGAGAAAUUGACUCAUAAGUGCGGCAUCAUCCCACUUGAUAUCAGUUGCAAGUUGUCGAAAUUGCGAAGCAUAUAAUGUUACUGAUCGAUUGCCUUGUCGCAAAAUACGGAUCUUAUUGGUUGCAACACGAAUUGCAUCAUGUUCUCCAAACAUGGAUCGAAACUCCGCCAAAAAAGCCUCCACAUUAUCCAAUAUUGGAUCUCGUCGUUCAAGAAAAGAUGAAAACCAUGACAAUGCUGAACCUGAAAGAAGUGUACCAAUGAAUCUUACUUGUGACCCUAGAGUUGGAUAGCUCUGGGGUUGAAGUUCAAUCACUAGUUGGACCUGAUUGAUGAAUCCUCGAAACUUGGAUCUGGUACCAUCAAACUUCUCGGGCAAGGCAACUCUCGGUUCUCUAACACUCGAAGGGUGUUCCAUUCUGGGAGAAGGGACAUGGUUUGGUGCAGAUGUUGAAGCAGCCCCAAUCAUCUCUAUAUCUUCACUUCCUACCAUUCUUGUUGCUCCUUGUGGUGGUAAAUUGAGUUGAUGCAUCGCAAGCAUUAACUCCCUCAAUUGUUCUUGCAUCUGUGCCAUUGCACUCUUCAUUUCAACAAGCUCUGCCAUAGUAGCACUUAGAAAAGAGAAGAUGUCUAACAACGCUCAAAACAAAUAGAAGAGAGGAAUUGAUAACAAAGAAAAUACUAAGAACAAUAUCAGUUUAAAAGAGGGUAAUCCGCAACUUCUAAUGCGCUUAUGUCUUAUCAAGAAAAAGGGGUAAUCCACUCUUAAUCAAGAAAAGACAAAGCUCUGAUAUUGUAAGUGUACUCUUGUCAAUCUGUCAGGGACAAGAACUCGAUGAAAGCUAAAGAGUAAGUGAGACUUUUCUCAAAAAGAAAUAGGACAAAAUAGAAAUAUGUAUAUUAAGAAAGAAACUGGAAUGGCUAUUGCCAAAAUACAAGAAAACUAGAGACCCUUGAAACUAGACUAGAAGCAAGAAAGGAGUUGACAAGAGUGAAGAAGGCUUCACUCUUGCCUCUAUAUAUACUAUCUAACUAGAAGCCACGUGGCGAUGUUCUAUAAGACCUCCAAUAUAUGUUGACUUUCUAGGCUACAUGCCUUUGCUUGCAAGGCAAGUUUUCUAUGGAUGGACCACGUAGUUAGCUUGUUCUUUAAGCUUCCAACAUGCGUGGCGCAUGGCUAACUUGUUGACCAAGUUUCUAACCUAAAAGUCAACUAUAGACUCCUAUAAAGUCAAAGCAGCGUCUAUGAAGCUUCUAAGAAGCUUCUCUAGAAGAUAUUACACAAUUAACCUACUUUUACAUACUUUUAUCUAUUCAUAUAGGUAAUUAUAUGUAUGUCCGUGAC